GACAUAGGUCGCGAACGUUAUCCGGAAUUAUUGGGCGUAAAGGGUGCGUAGAUGGUACAGUAAGUUAUCAGUGGGAAAUCGAGGCUCAACCUCGUGGAAGCUAGUAAUACUGCUAUACUAGAGUGCAGGAGAGGCAAGCGGUACUCAGUGGGUAGGGGUAAAAUCCGUUGAUCCAUUGAAGACCACCAGUGGCGAAGGCGGCUUGCCAGAAUGCGCUCGACGGUGAGGGAUGAAAGCUGGGGGAGCAAACCGG
rnacentral:rRNA from 1 species